rnacentral:pre_miRNA from 1 species
CUUGUACUCGCUCCGUCCGAAAAUACUUGUCAUUGAAAUGGAUGUAUCUAGAUGUAUUUUAGUUCUAGACACAUCCAUUUUGAUGACAAGUAAUUCCGGACGGAGGGUGUACUUG